rnacentral:rRNA from 1 species
CACAAGCGGUGGAUGAUGUGGUUUAAUUCGAUGCAACGCGAAAACCUUACCUACCCUUGACAUGUCAAGAAUUUUGCAGAGAUGUGAAAGUGCUCGAAAGAGAACUUGAACACAGGUGCUGCAUGGCCGUCGUCAGCUCGUGUCGUGAGAUGUUGGGUUAAGUCCCGCAACGAGCGCAACCCUUGUCAUUAGUUGCUACGCAAGAGCACUCUAAUGAGACUGCCGGUGACAAACCGGAGGAAGGUGGGGAUGACGUCAGGUCCUCAUGGCCCUUAUGGGUAGGGCUACACACGUCAUACAAUGGCCGGUACAGAGGGCUGCCAACCCGCGAGGGGGAGCCAAUCCCAGAAAACCGGUCGUAGUCCGGAUCGUAGUCUGCAACUCGACUGCGUGAAGUCGGAAUCGCUAGUAAUCGCGGAUCAGCUUGCCGCGGUGAAUACGUUCCCGGGGCUU